UCAGACAUUUUAAUUAUUUAGAAUAUAAUGGCGAAUCAUCGGAGAAAAUAGGUCACAUAAAAACGGGUAGCUUUAGCCCCGUAAUGCAACAGCUUUGAACGUCUGCAUAUGAAUGGUACGCUGCUUUUAAAUAGAAGAAAUCAAUAAAUGGUCCGCGUUUGCAUCCCUCCAAUCAGCAUUGAAUUGGGGCGCAAUGUAGUUCCGCCUUUAGUAAACAUAAUUACGCGAUUUUUUGCUCCUUCAUCCGGAUGAGGAAAAAACCUUCUCGUGAAUCCACUUGCAUCUUAUAAUCAUUCGUCAAUGUUCGCGAAAAGUGGUGAUAUUUCGCGAAAAUGAUGGAAAGCAAAUUUUUCGUUAUUACGUUACAUAUGUCGCAAGUUAUACGUAGAAUAUUCGUAAGAGUUCGAUUUUAUAGCAUCUCGAAUGAGUAGUUGGAAAUAAUUGUUUUUGAAAAAAAAAAUUCCAUCGCGAUGUUUAUUUUUUUUGGUGUACGCAAAUAGACUUAAAAUACGUUGUUUUGCGAGUGGAUAGGUGUAGGUAACCAAAUUUAUAAGCAACUUAACGUAAGCUACGCAAUUCAGAUCAAUAUUUUCCAGGUAUCGUUGCAGUUCUUCGUUGAUUUUUUUUGUCUUAAGUUCAUACACGUGUUAAUAUAACAGGUAGCACGUCACAUGUUGAUAUAGAAAAAAAGCUUCUCAGUAUCAAAGGUUAAGUACCUAUACGAAGAAUAUCAUUAUAAAAAAAAAAAUAAGUUCACUUCGAUCGAUAAAAGAAAAGACAAGUGGAAUGGAUAUUUAUCAAAAAAAUGAUGCCUAUACAUUCAAUUUUGGAAUUCCUUGGAGCAUUGAAAUUGAAAAAAAAGGUAACUUACCCAGUUAUUUCAUCAGAAUCGUGAUUGCAACCUUGCAUUUUUUUUACUGUAACAAUAAGUAGGUAGAUUUUCGUUGCGAAAAUGUAUGUAAAACCGAACACAAGGUAAUAAGUAUUAUAUAAAAACUAUGGGUAACUCGGCAUCUAUAGUUUCAUAUUUCAAGACGAACUUGGGGUUGUAUUCCAUACUUCUCGUCUAGUGUUGGAUUCUUCAGCACUGAUCAUUCAGAAUACAAGUUUCAUUGAAAUAACACUCGUUCGAUCAUGAAAAGUCAAUAUGUUAUGUUCUAUUUUUCUAAUCAAACUAACGUUAUUUUUUUCUACCUUUGAUGCGCCUUAUCAACUGUAAGUUAAUGAUCACAACGUCUCGAAUAAUUACGCGUAGAAAUGUUAAUAAUUUUAAUAAUUUGUAAUUUUAUCUUAAUAUUCACCUGUUUAGCAAAUACAUUUUUUCAAGUGCCGUGCAGUGUUAACAAAAUGCGCCUAAUUGAGUACUGAUUUCAUUUUGGCGAUCAGAUGGUUAUUUGAAUGUCUAGCACCACUUGAAAUCAGUUCUUUACAAAGGCUAAUUCUACUAGAAGAAGUUUGUCACCAUCUGGGAUUUUUCAUGCAACAUUAUGAAUAUCAUAACUCCGGGAGAAAAUGUGAAGAAAGAUGAUAAUUAUCUAGUGUACAUAAUCACAUUUUGAACAGUCUGAAUUGAUUCUUUUGACUUGUACUUAGUUACUCUACUCAGCUACCGACAUUUCUUUUUUUUGAAUAAUAUCGAUUUUUAUAGAAAUCAUUUCAUGUAAGUUUUAAUGUUCAUUUGAAUUAUUAUGUUUUUAUGAGUUUGAAUUUGUUUUGCAAUUAAUUAAUUAAUUAUCUAUUGCUUACUUAGGGACAGUUUUAUUUUUAUUUUUUUCAGAAAUAAUUAGUUCUACAUACGAGCAAAAAGUUGAAUGUCCUGUGUUUCAGUUCAGCAAUCUUGCUUGGACUUUUUUUUUUUUUAGCGAAUUUUACAAUUUUACCUUUUGUAUUUGUGAACAAAAUAUACCGCUACUUACAAUA